GAUUAACGCUGGCGGCGUGCAUAACACAUGCAAGUCGAACGAUGAAACUUAACUGAUUUCUUCGGAAUGAUUUUAAGUGGAUUAGUGGCGGACGGGUGAGUAACGCGUGAGUAACCUGCCUUGGAGAAGGGGAUAGCCUUUGGAAACGAAGAAUAAUACCCUAUGAUAUGAUAAUAUCUCAUGAUAUUAUCAUCAAAGAUUUAUCGCUCUAAGAUGGACUUGCGUCUGAUUAGUUAGUUGGUGAGGUAACAGCUCACCAAGGCAGCGAUCAGUAGCCGGCUUGAGAGAGUGUACGGCCACAUUGGGACUGAGCCACGGCCCAGACUCCUACGGGAGGCAGCAGUGGGGAAUUUUGCACAAUGGGGGAAACCCUGAUGCAGCGACGCCGCGUGAUUUAGAAGGCCUUCGGGUUGUAAAAAUCUUUUGUAUGGGAAGAAAAUGACAGUACCAUACGAAUAAGGACCGGCUAAUUACGUG
rnacentral:rRNA from 1 species